rnacentral:rRNA from 1 species
UACGUAGGGGGCAAGCGUUGUCCGGAUUUAUUGGGCGUAAAGAGCGUGUAGGCGGCUUAGUAGGUCCGCUGUGAAAACUCGAGGCUCAACCUCGAGAUGUCGGCGGAAACCACUUGGCUAGAGUCCGGGAGAGGUGAGUGGAAUUCCCGGUGUAGCGGUGAAAUGCGCAGAUAUCGGGAAGAACACCCGUGGCGAAGGCGGUUCUCUGGGACGGUACUGACGCUGAGACGCGAAAGCGUGGGGAGCGAACAGG